AUUGAACGCUGGCGGCAGGCCUAACACAUGCAAGUCGAGCGAGCGGCGGACGGGUGAGUAAUGUAUGGGGACUGCCCGAUAGAGGGGGAUAACUACUGGAAACGGUAGCUAAUACCGCAUACUAUCGGAUAACCCAUAUGGGAUUAGAUAGUAGGUGAGGUAAUGGUUCACCUAGGCGACGAUCCCUAGCUGGGCUGAGAGGAGGAUAAGCCACACUGGGGCUGUGGCACGGCCCAGACUCCUACGGAGGCAGCAGUGGGGAAUAUUGGACAAUGGGGGCAAGCCUGAUGCAGCAAUGCCGCUAGUAUGAAGAAGGCCCUAGGGUUGUAAAGUACUUUCAGUCGGGAGGCGUUACCGACAGAAGAAGCACCGGCUAACUCCGUGCCAGCAGCCGCGGUAAUUC
rnacentral:rRNA from 1 species